rnacentral:rRNA from 1 species
GACGAACGCUGGCGGCGUGCUUAACACAUGCAGGUCGAACGGAAAGGCCUUUUCGGAGGUACUCGAGUGGCGAACGGGUGAGUAACACGUGGGUGAUCUGCCCUGCACUCUGGGAUAAGCCUGGGAAACUGGGUCUAAUACCGGAUAGGACCGCACUUUAGUGUGUGUGGUGGAAAGUUUUUUCGGUGUAGGAUGAGCCCGCGGCCUAUCAGCUUGUUGGUGGGGUAAUGGCCUACCAAGGCGGCGACGGGUAGCCGGACUGAGAGGUUGGUCGGCCACAUUGGGACUGAGAUACGGCCCAGACUCCUACGGGAGGCAGCAGUGGGGAAUAUUGCACAAUGGGCGCAAGCCUGAUGCAGCGACGCCGCGUGGGGGAUGACGGCCUUCGGGUUGUAAACUCCUUUCGCCAGGGACGAAGCGUUUUGUGACGGUACCUGGAGAAGAAGCACCGGCUAACUACGUGC